rnacentral:rRNA from 1 species
GUUAGGAAUAUUGGACAAUGGGCGCAAGCCUGAUCCAGCCAUGCCGCGUGAGUGAUGAAGGCCUUCGGGUUGUAAAGUUCUUUAGCCGAUGAUUAUAAUGACUGUAGUCGGAAAAUAAGCCCCGGCUAACUUCGUGCCAGCAGCCGCGGUAAUACGAAGGGGGCGAGCGUUAUUCGGAAUCACUGGGCGUAAAGCGUGCGUAGGCGGUCUCGUAAGUUAGGAGUGAAAGCCCAGGGCUCAACCUUGGAAUUGCUCUUAAAACUGCAAGGCUAGAAUCUCGGAGAGGAUAGCGGAAUUUCCAGUGUAGCAGUGAAAUGCGUAGAUAUUGGAAGGAACACCAGUGGCGUAAGCGGCUAUCUGGACGAGUAUUGACGCUGAGGCACGAAAGCGUGGGGAUCAAACAGGAUUAGAUACCCGUGUAGUCC